GGGCUUCUGGUUAGUGUGUAGAACGACUUUAUCAGCACACACACAGAGACUUUAUUAGUCCCUCCUCGUGUCCCCCCUUGUGGGAUAUCCUGCAGAGCUCAGGGUGUAGUAUUUACUGACCCUCAUGGAACACAUUACCUGAGCUGUUAUCUGUUUGAACACACAGACCUCCACUCAUGUUUGUCCUGUUAUUUUUAGGCUCAUUUCCAUUUCCACUUUCUUUUCCCAUAAACUGAUAAGCAGGGGUAAAGUCUCAAAAGGAUAAGCAAAGAGAAUUUAACUUUUAAACAUCCUCAUGCCAGCGCAAAAACAGUGGGGCUGCGGCCAGGAGUUGGUUAGAUUAGCCUAACGUAAAGAUUGCUGACCAGAGUGAGAUCAGAGGGUAAACAAAAGCUACUUCUAAGCCUAAAAUUUGACAUGCUAAAAAUUGGACUUCAUUACCUCUGCAACAUUACAAUGUACAGCUGUCGACUGUUUCUCCCAGUGCUAACGCUGUGUCAUGCUAGGCUACAGAAUGGCUCGGCUCUGCUACAUUUCCACUGAUAUGACCUGAGAGUGGAAAGAUAUUCUUACUACAGUUGGAAAAACAACUUCUCCCCCCCAAAAUACCAAACUUAUCUUAAAUACAAGUGUAUCAGCCCUUCACUUACUGCAGAGCUGCUGUAAACGGAUAAAGUGAAUGUAGUACUGCUAAAUGAUUAAACAUUGUUAUCCUGCAAGACAUAUGUUGGUUGGGUCAUUUUAAACUGGAGUAACCACUCAAGCCGCGUAAUGUAGCUAGUAUACAAACAUAAAACAUGAUAAUUUUCGACAAUAUUUGGUCUUCAUUAUUAUUCACAACUAUUAUCUGGAUCAUUUAAAAUAAGAUCUGGAUUAAUCAGUAACUUGAGUCCCAUCUCUUAAAAUUUUAAAACAAUGCCGACAUUGGUCCAUGCUGUAGAGCUCCUCUGAAGGUUCUUUGUCUCCUGGAAAGUGUCUGCUAUUGCUUUUGUUUGCUUCCUGAGACAAUAUGAUAUGGAUAUGCUAGUUAUCGGACUAUCUUUCAGAUGACUUGUUACACUACAUACCAAAACAAUUGACAAACAAGUUAGCAAAAGGCUAGCUGGUUGUACGUCAACUUCAUACUUUUUGUACGUGUCCCUCAUACACAUAUAUUUUUUAAGUCUAUUAUUUGUCAGCAUUACUCAAUAUGUCGAUUUUUUUGACAUUGUGGAAAUGUACAAACUGUACCAUUCUCUGUUUUUUUUUUCCAAAAAACACGUUUCUUCCAAAGUUUCGGUUUAUUUGUUAUUUCAUGCUGACUUGCUGAGCUCUGAUUCAUUUUCCUCCCCCCUGUCCCCUCUUACGUUUUUCCUGCCCUCUCUUCUGCCUGUUAAGGACACUGCUAAUGGUUUUAUCUAACUUGGCCUUCAUUCAUUCUCCUGCUGAAUAAAUAUGAUUAACUCUCAGUCCACCAAACCCCUAAAAGCUUAGCUGGCAGAUUAAAAUAAACUUAGAUGUACAGUCAGACCAUGAAUGUUCCUGCUCAGUUCAGUCAGUUCACACAGCUCUGAUGGUUAUCUGUUUAGGGUGAGUGUAACAUCCCUAUCAAAGAUACUAUCUGGUAUGGAUUGUUUUCACAGAGUGUGUAAUUCAUUUUUAAUUAAAGCACAAACACAAAUAUACACAAUGAUCACUGGAACUUUUCUCCUCCUUUGUAUGUCCAGAUUUAUUCCAUUUGUGCAUUUGCCUGACACCUGAUUAGAGAUAUUCUGCAGUAUAUGAUGUUUGCACAUACUGAUCAUGGCUAAACACCAUGUAAACAAACACGCAAACACAUCAACAACACACACUCUCUCCCGUGCCAGACACAGCUGUGAGCACUCUGGUUUUGGAGAUGAUCUCUCAGCCUCUUCAAAGACUCAGCAAGCCAUGACCGCCCCUCUCCAAACACACACACACACACAUAUGUGCAUACGCGCACGCAGGCACGCACACAUAUACACACUCUUUCUCGCCAAUUCUAUUAACAUAAUCACUGUUUCCUUCCUCCAUUUGUGGAUUCCUGCCUGUCAUCUCUACACAGCUGAACACUCGUUGACACACAGGAUAGUUGAUAGCUGACGUUACGGCAACAUUAAUACACUACAGUGAAACCUUUGCUGAACUUAAGUUAGCACUCAGUCUGUUUGGGUACCUCUCCUUGAACCCAGCUUUGGACCUCAGAUUUCCUCUUUUUCUUACCUAUUUAUGGUGCCAGGCUCCCUCAGAGGUAUAAGAGGAGGAGAUGUCAUUCUGCAUUAAAAGUUGUAUGUCUAAAAUGAAUGAUGAUCUUAAGAAGAUAAAGAACAGACAUGUCUGAUUUCUGCAAUGUUGCUCCAUACAAGGAUGUGUGUGAUGGAAACUGAUUCAUGUUUUAGUUUUUCAGACAGUUGCACUAGGAGACCUUUAGAUUCUUACAUAGACUCUUAUAAGAUCAGAUUAGGUUGGAUACAACUUUAUUUAUCCUUUUGGAAAGGUUCCCUCUAGGAAAGUUAAAAAUUAUUGUGCCUUUAAGAUAUUUUUUUGUGCCCUCUGGCUAAUUCAGGAUACACCAAAAGUACUUAAAGCGUCUAUUUUAAACUUACUUUCCUCGGCUUCAUAUUUGUGCGGUUUUCCAACAAACCAAUAAAAGUCAACCUGAUAAGAGAUCCAGCCUUUUCCUGGACAUAUGACCUGAUAAAGACAUGCCUGAACAUGCAUCUAUUAUUAAUCUGAAUAAAACUAGUUUAACAUGCACAGAUUUGUAAUAUAUCAGAAAAAAAAAAAUUCUUUCAUCUCCUCCUUUUCUGAAUGUCACCUAUCAGUGUGUUGUAUAUCAGUAGUUCCUAAAGUUUUGGGGUUGUGAGCUUCCUUCUAAAAAACAACUUAAAUCUUAUUUAAAACUACAUGUGUCAUUUAUUAUUUUUUUAGUUAGUUUUUCUGAAACCCAUGCACAUAAAACGUUUAAUCAAUUUUCUACUACUCUAUAGUGGCACAUUACCUGUUCACAUGUUUCCUUAAUCUGACCAACACUGGACUUUUAAAACAUGUAAACACAUUAGUAUGAAUAGAACUGCUCUGAAUCAGUGUUUUAUACUGCUACUAACAUACCUGGAUAAUACAGUUGGGGAUCUAUUUUCUCUUUUCACCCGUAAGGCUCAGUUGGAGUGUUCUGCACAUGCUCAAGAGUUUGCACAUCGGGCUUCAGCCUCGGAAUUGAAAAGUGUGAAUGUGUUUCUAGGAACCUGGGUAUUAAGCCAAACCUCAACAGGAGAAGACACAGUUUUAUUGUACAAACAAAAGGUUCAGAGCUGUAAAAGUGUCAGUGUUUUCAUUGUUCAACGUAUAUCCCGCUACUUGGUUACAUAUUUUUUUCCAGCAGGUAUGUUCAAA